rnacentral:lncRNA from 1 species
CUGAAAAAUGGACAUUAUCAAAAAAUAAUCAUUAAAUGUGUUUUAAAGUUUCACCGGAUCGAUUAAAUCCAAAACAUGCACUGCUGGUGAACUGUGAUCAAAAUGUCAAUUUCCUACAAUGACAAAAGAAAUUACAUUGUGUACAUUCCAUCUCUAGACAUGUUGUCUGUUCAAGGUCCCGACCUAAAAAGAAAUUAAAAGACUAAGUUUUUCUUAAUAUAAACCCGCGUCACGUGAUGUCUCCUCAAUCUUGCGCGCGCGCUGUAUCUAAAAUAAAAGAAAAACUUUCCAAACUAAACAUGAAACUUCUCCGGUAACAUAAUAAUAUAGACCCCAUACCAAAGCAAACAAACAAACAAAUAAAAAAAUACCCCCCCCCCCC